rnacentral:rRNA from 1 species
CCUACGGGAGGCAGCAGUGGGGAAUUUUCCGCAAUGGGCGAAAGCCUGACGGAGCAAUACCGCGUGAGGGAGGAAGGCUCUUGGGUUGUAAACCUCUUUUUUCAGGGAAGAUAAUGACGGUACCUGAGGAAUAAGCAUCGGCUAACUCCGUGCCAGCAGCCGCGGUAAUACGGAGGAUGCAAGCGUUAUCCGGAAUGAUUGGGCGUAAAGCGUCCGCAGGUGGUUUUAAAAGUCUGUUGUUAAAGCGUGAGGCUUAACCUCAUAAGGGCAAUGGAAACUGUAAGACUAGAGUACGUUCGGGGCAAGGGGAAUUCCCAGUGUAGCGGUGAAAUGCGUAGAGAUUGGGAAGAACACCGGUGGCGAAAGCGCCUUGCUAGGCCGUAACUGACACUGAGGGACGAAAGCUAGGGGAGCGAAUGGGAUUAGAUACCCCAGUAGUCCUAGCCGUAAACGAUGGAUACUAGGCGUUGUCUGUAUCGACCCGGACAGUGCCGUAGCUAACGCGUUAAGUAUCCCGCCUGGGGAGUACGCACGCAAGUGUGAAACUCAAAGGAAUUGACGGCUGAGANNCAGCGCACGAGGAG